rnacentral:sRNA from 1 species
CCUCUCUGUUCCACUGUCUCAGGACUGCACUUGAUUUUUGGAUUCUUAAAAAUUGGAUGGCUCCCUCAAUCUGGACAUUCCUGGCUUAAUGAAUGUCUUACUGAGUUUGCUGAACUUUGUGUUUCAAUGUGCUGGGAGACGAACUUAGUUCUGGGUUACCGAUUAAAAGUUUCCUUCUGGGAUUCUACAACUUAGGGAGCCUAUAGCACUCUACUCGGCUUACAGUGUUUGUCGUUCCAUAAAAGCCCAGACUGCAUAGACCAAGUGAAAAAGGAAACAUCGGAAAUCAAAUAAUGUGAUGGGCUGAUCAUGAUGAGAUAAAUACUCAGAUGGCACUGGCGCACAAAUUCAUUGGAAAGGUCACACCAAGAUUGUCGUUUUCUCUCUACUGACCAUCAAGUAAGAGGAUGGCCUGGGCUGCACCCUGUACUUCUUAACUUCUUUCUUCUAGCCUUGACUCUGUGACAUCUGUAAGAAGCAUCAAGUCAAGAAAACACCAGCGUGGUAAGGUGGAGUUGGAAUCAAUUACCGGGCAGAAGUCAGGAGCUUGCACACUGAAGCACUAGCUCUACACUUAGAGAGAGGGGCUGACUCAUCUCUACAAGGUGGGGUGAUGAGAGUACACUCCCCUGUAGUUGAGGACCAAGUGAGGUUUGCGGUGAGAAAAUGUUUGCCAGUGGAAAGUGUUGAACAAAAGCCACUUGCUAUUCAGGUCCAACUUGCAAAACGUAAAAUGCUCUAUAAACGUAAAAUCCACAGACUUUCUCCACUUCUCCUGUGGGAUUACUAACUUCUGGUAGCUACUGCAAAGCGUGCCCAAGCAACGAAAUAAUCUCAUCAUGACCUAUCACGGAAACAGUGGGAGGGCACCCAGGCACUUAAGGACACGUUUGUCCUGACUUUUCUGGGCUUCACGUUAAGAUGAAGCUUGCUGUCAGAAGGCCUGUGCUCGCCCUAACUGUUUUUCCUCACUCUCCUCAAUACCUAAAAAGGAUCAUAUAGUCCUAAUUAGGCCUAGAGAGGCCUACAAAAAAAGCUUGCUUCCAAGAGCUUUGGAUUUAUGGACUGCAAACUGUAGGCUACUGUGUGUUUUAAUAUAUGCAGAGAGACAAUUAAGAUAACUUCAGUUAUGGUUUUAGGAAAGAGUCCGGGCAGCAUUCAACUGCACAUAUAGCCUUACUCUGUCAAAAACAGAAAGUGAAAUGACAUUUUUUUUUGAGUCAACUUGCUCUGUUAAAAGCAACCAACCAUCUGAAAACACUCAAUGGCUUGAACUAAAGUCGUAUGAAGUUUUGUGAUCCUCAGGAGAGGAACAAAAGUUUGGAAGAGAAGUUUAGCUGCCAAACUGCAGAAGCAGACGGUCCCUAAGGACGGGAGUUCAGUGGCCUACAAUGUGUGAAGAAAAUGGCCCAACUUCACUGAACAAAAAAUGUCAGUUACAAUCACAAGGAGAUGCCACUGAUAAAUGGAAGUGCGUGCCAACACUGUGUGGCGUCCGGGUUCUGUGAAAACAGACACUCUCUGCUCUGUGGUGGGGAUUGCAAUUGGAACAAUCUUUCGGAACAGCAAUUUGGCCAGAUCUAAAGUGAAACUUCUAACACCAUCGUUCUGCUUCUAAAAACUCAUUCCAGGAAAUUUAUCCUAGCUUAAAAAAAUAUGAACAGUAGUGCUGGAGUGAUAGCUCAGCAGGUAAAGGCCCUGCCAGCAACCUAAUGACCUGAAUUUGAUUCCUGGAACCCAAGUUGCAGAAGGAGAGAACUGACUCUGUAAAGCUCUCCUCUGACCUCUGCAUGGAAAUGAGCCAUGUAUCCCCACACCUCAACACACAAAAUAAGUAAAUGAAUAAAUGUAAUAAUUUUAAUGUA